rnacentral:rRNA from 1 species
UACGUAGGGGGCGAGCGUUGUCCGGAGUUACUGGGCGUAAAGCGCUUGUAGGCGGUCCACCAAGUUUGGGGUGACAGUUGCCGACUUAGUCGGCAAAGUGCCUCAAAGACUGGCGGACUUGAGGGCCACAGAGGGACAUGGAACUCCAGGUGUAGUGGUGAAAUGCGUAGAUAUCUGGAAGAACACCAAAGGCGAAGGCAGUGUCCUGGGUGGUCGCUGACGCUGAGAGGCGAAAGCCAGGGGAGCGAACGGG